rnacentral:rRNA from 1 species
GGGUUGUGAGGUUAAGCGACUAAGCGUACACGGUGGAUGCCCUGGCAGUCAGAGGCGAUGAAGGGCGUGCUAAUCUGCGAUAAGCGCCGGUAAGGUGAUAUGAACCGUUAUAACCGGCGAUACCCGAAUGGGGAAACCCAGUGUGAUUCGUCACACUAUCAUUAACUGAAUCCAUAGGUUAAUGAGGCGAACCGGGGGAACUGAAACAUCUAAGUACCCCGAGGAAAAGAAAUCAACCGAGAUUCCCCCAGUAGCGGCGAGCGAACGGGGAGGAGCCCAGAGCCUGAAUCAGCAUGUGUGUUAGUGGAAGCGUCUGGAAAGGCGCGCGAUACAGGGUGACAGCCCCGUACACAAAAGCGCAUGUGCUGUGAGCUCGAUGAGUAGGGCGGGACACGUGGUAUCCUGUCUGAAUAUGGGGGGACCAUCCUCCAAGGCUAAAUACUCCUGACUGACCGAUAGUGAACCAGUACCGUGAGGGAAAGGCGAAAAGAACCCCGGCGAGGGGAGUGAAAAAGAACCUGAAACCGUGUACGUACAAGCAGUGGGAGCACAGGUUUACCUGUGUGACUGCGUACCUUUUGUAUAAUGGGUCAGCGACUUAUAUUCUGUAGCAAGGUUAACCGUAUAGGGGAGCCGCAGGGAAACCGAGUCUUAACCGGGCGUUAAGUUGCAGGGUAUAGACCCGAAACCCGGUGAUCUAGCCAUGGGCAGGUUGAAGGUUGGGUAACACUAACUGGAGGACCGAACCGACUAAUGUUGAAAAAUUAGCGGAUGACCUGUGGCUGGGGGUGAAAGGCCAAUCAAACCGGGAGAUAGCUGGUUCUCCCCGAAAGCUAUUUAGGUAGCGCCUCGUGAAUUCAUCUCCGGGGGUAGAGCACUGUUUCGGCUAGGGGGCCAUCCCGGCUUACCAACCCGAUGCAAACUGCGAAUACCGGAGAAUGUUAUCACGGGAGACACACGGCGGGUGCUAACGUCCGUCGUGAAGAGGGAAACAACCCAGACCGCCAGCUAAGGUCCCAAAGUCAUGGUUAAGUGGGAAACGAUGUGGGAAGGCCCAGACAGCCAGGAUGUUGGCUUAGAAGCAGCCAUCAUUUAAAGAAAGCGUAAUAGCUCACUGGUCGAGUCGGCCUGCGCGGAAGAUGUAACGGGGCUAAACCAUGCACCGAAGCUGCGGCAGCGACACU